GGAGGCCUGGAGGUGAACGCCGCCCUCUCCCCUUCAGAAGUGCAUUACUUCUCUCCUUAAUGGUCGUGGCUGAUGGCGAGCGACUCCUGCAGGGGCCACCACUGUUGUGAGUGUGAUCAAUGACGAGGCUGUGGUAAAGAUCCAACCCUCUGGGGCCAGGCGUCAUAAACUCGGGUCUAAAUUUGAAGAAGUGGGACAGCAGACGGAUGUGGACGUUUGCCAGGGCCGUGCUGCUGCGACCGAGAAAGUGAUGACUCAGCAGAAACCCCCUUCGGACCACAGAGAUGAGCUCAUGUGCACGUUGACAGACUAAUCCUAACCUGAAACUCCAGGGUUCGGGUGAUUGCAGCGUGCUCUGCGGGUUGCGUCAUACCUGAACAGUCUCGAGCAGAACCUCGGAGGCUCGGCGCCGAGUUGAAACACACUUUAAGCCAGAAAAAAGCGGUGCUUGCCAGCGUGCCACAGAGCCCUGGUGUAGGUGUUGCAGCACGAGUGUGGGUUUCAUCUGCUCGCCCGGAGGGAUCGAAAGCCAAGAAAAACUGCAGGAGCUUCGAGUUUUAGUGAAAAAUGACAUACAAGCAUCAAGAUAAACAUGAUACUUGAUUUUCUCUGUCUGUCCUUCACCUAAGCAAGCUCUUCGGGUACAGGGAAAUGGGUGAAAAAUCCCCCCCAAAAAACUACCCAGACUGUUGAAAACUCUGAAACAAGACAAAUUCUGAGAGAAAAACAAGGAGCAAAUGAUUACGAAAGCAGGAGGUGACAGGAACCAACAAAGCAGGAGCUGCUGGAAACAUCACGACCAUCAGACUCCAAAUCCAGGGUUCUCAUAAUUCUACUUCUAUACAAAAUGACAUGUGUAAGA